GACGAACGCUGGCGGCGUGCUUAACACAUGCAAGUCGAGCGGUAAGGCCCUUUCGGGGGUACGACGAGCGGCGAACGGGUGAGUAACACGUGGGUGACCUGCCCUCAGCUCUGGGAUAAGCCUGGGAAACCGGGUACUAAUACCGGAUAUGACUCCAUGACGCAUGUUGUGGGGUGGAAAGCCUUGUGCGGCUGAGGAUGGGCCCGCGGCCUAUCAGCUUGUUGGUGGGGUGAUGGCCUACCAAGGCGACGACGGGUAGCCGGCCUGAGAGGGCGACCGGCCACACUGGGACUGAGACACGGCCCAGACUCCUACGGGAGGCAGCAGUGGGGAAUCUUGCGCAAUGGGCGAAAGCCUGAUCCAGCCAUGCCGCGUGAGUGAUGAAGG
rnacentral:rRNA from 1 species